AUUGAACGCUGGCGGCAGGCCUAACACAUGCAAGUCGAGCGAGCGGCGGACGGGUGAGUAAUGUCUGGGAAACUGCCUGAUGGAGGGGGAUAACUACUGGAAACGGUAGCUAAUACCGCAUACCAUCAGAUGUGCCCAGCUGGGAGUAGCUAGUAGGUGGGGUAACGGCUCACCUAGGCGACGAUCCCUAGCUGGUCUGAGAGGAUGACCAGCCACACUGUAAAUGAGAAACGGGCGAGACUCCGAUGGGAUGCAGCAGUGGGGAAUAUUGCACAAUGGGCGCAGUCCUGAGGCAGCCCUGCCGGGGGUGGGAAGAGGGCCUUCGGGUUGUAAGGCACGUUCAGCGGGGAGGCGUUACCCGCAGAAGAAGCACCGGCUAACUCCGGGCCAGCAGCCGCGGUAAUUC
rnacentral:rRNA from 1 species